UUUGUUUGUGAGAGUCGGUCAUUCGUAAUGAAUGGUUAGUCUAUCAUCCAUAAUGAAUGGUUAGAAUACAACUAUUAUUCUGGUCUGCAUGCUUCUCAAAUUCGGUACGUUUGGUCUUUCUUUGCCCCUCUGCCAUUUCCUCAUCUUCUAACUCUUUUUCUUUAUUGUGGUUCUUCUGGUUGUCUUCUUCUUAUUAUGUGUUUUAAGUGUCCAAUUUUCACAAUGGUGAGCAGUUCAGCAUCCGUUGAUUGCAUCUGCGCCCCACCCCCGCCCCUGCCACCCCC
rnacentral:misc_RNA from 1 species